rnacentral:tRNA from 1 species
UGGGCUAUAGCCAAGCGGUAAGGCAACGGACUUUGACUCCGUGCCGCGCUGGUUCGAAUCCAGCUAGCCCAG